CGGGCUGGGGGCUGCCCGCGGUGCGAAACACCUCCCGUCUGCCCCGGUGGAUGUGCUUAGAUACAAAUGUUUAUAUCCGCGGAUAUGCGAGUAUCCGGCUAUUGUCGCAUCCAGCUACUAAAUAACAACCCUUUAACAAAAAAAAAAAAAAAAAAAAAAAAAGGAAAAAGAAAAAAGAAAAAAAAAAUCCAAAACAAAACACCCCACACAAGCCAUAACGACGAUGAUGAUGCUGACGGGAGGGGGGGGGAAAUAAAUAAAUAAAAGCGAGCGAGAGUCGGCGAGGGAGAGGGAGGCAGGUUCAAUUAUCUAAACAAAGAAAUCAUGGCGGAGUGUUUACAUUUGGCUGCCCAAAGCCUGUCGGAUUACGGACCCCCCCCAAACACACCCGGCCCCCCCGGCCCCCCGCAGUAGCGGCGUGCCGCAGCCCGCCCGCCGACACCUCGCCGCGGCCCGGAGUCUGAAACAGCUGCUUUGAAGAGAUCUUUCACAUGAAUGACUAGGCUGUGAAUUGCUAAGAUCUAUCACUGCCAAAGGCUACUGAAUAUUCCUGGUUUGCUAUGGAUACAACUGUUUCAUUUUCCUGCUGCUGCAUCCUGUUAUUCUUCCCAAGAUUUUUGUGCAGAACAGGGCAGAGAGAACUCACCUGCAGCCAGUGGAUUUGACUGUUGAUAAGAAGGAACAGAUGGCAGCACCAUUCUGUCUCAGCACCAAACACUGUCUGGGAGAUGUAUGCAAUGUAAAAAGCAUCCCUGUGUGGAGAAGCAGAUAGUGCUCCUGCAAAGGGACAAGAGGAAACCAGGAACAAGCUGUUGAUCUUCUCUAAUGCUAAUGAAUAUAUUAAACAACACCAGUCCUAAUACUGACUACUGCAGCACUUUAUGCUCUUUGUCAGACAGAGAUGUGUUCGCUUUGUGAAUUGGAAAUUGAGAGAUGGAAGUAUUCUGACAGCUCCCAGGGAAGGAUGGAAACCCUCCUAUUCACAACCUACUCAUCACAGCACUGGGGAGAAGAUUCAUGUACCUAGUGCGACAGGAGGGGCAGAGCAGGGCAAGGACGUGGCAGCUUGCAUCAUUCCCCUGCUGCUGGCAAGGCAAGUCCCUUGCCACCAGCCACUCUCUGCACUCAGUUCCCCGCAGGGCUCCGUUUCCUGCCCUCACUCCUUCCUGUGCUUGAGUGGUGGCUCCUACCUUAAAGCAGCUAUUUUCAAGUUUUAAUAAUGUUUUGCAACUCAUUUCCUGUUUCUUAGCUGACAGCCUUUCCAAAAGUAAUCUUUGGCAGGUACUAAUUUGGGUGAUGACCACUUGAUCUACAUUUUUGGUGGGUAAUUACUGAGUCAGAAGUGAGCAAAUUUGAUAUCCCCUGACAGUCAGUAAGGCGGGCAUAUUUACUACCCACUCAUUAAAGAUUCACUGGUGGUGAAAUGCCCUAAAGUUUGCACUCCUCUCACACAUGAGAAAAAUUUGUCUGUUAAGUCCCAGAAGUUACCACUUACGUUUAUUUUGUCAGAUUUACAGAGUCUAAGAUAUGUUGGCACUUUGAAAAACAACUUUUUUUAAGACCAGAUACCUUGGUGUAAUGAAACUACCACUAGAUCAAAAGUCCAAUUGUAUCUGAGGCUGGAUAGCAUCCUGCAUCCCAUAACAAAUCUGUUCCACAGACAUGUUGUUUUACAGUGAUAACUGAAUCUCAAAAAUUUGGAGGUCUGAUUUGCACAAAUGCUGAUAAGUUCGCAAACCAAUGCCGAGCUCCUACAGCCACCAGAGCCAGGUUCAUUGGAAUGCUCUGGCAGCUUUGCUUCACUCUAGUGAUACAAAGCAGCUGUAAAUCCGGUUGUGCUGGCCUUACGUUGUCAGAAUGGCCAGAGUGUACCAGUGAGUCCUGCCCUCUGUACUGCUAUUGCAAUGAAAUUGGGCUGGGUAUCUACAAAGGGAAAAGGGAGGCUGUUCUGAGAUUAUCAGCACAGCUUGCUUCCUUGCAUUACUUUAGUACUAGUGUCUGCUUCCUAUAAGAUCCUGUGCAAAAGCGAGCGAAAAGAAAACAUAAUGUGGGAAGAAAUAGCCAGACUUCUUUUCAAAUGUCAAAUGUCAAAGAAAUUCAGAUUUAUUUUGAGUUUUAGAAGAAAUGUGGGAAAGGAAUAUUUGCCAGAUUCUUGCCCUCCCCUCCUGGCUUCUAUGAACUACCUUUCAAUUCCCUCUUCCCCAGUAAGUUUUCCCAAAUUGUAGAGAUCAAGUCCCUACUGCAAAUCCUCUGAGAAGUCACUUAAGUAGAUUGAGAAUCUAAAUGAAACUCAAUCUUUGUUUCUGAAGCAAGAAGUAGCUGGUAGAGUGUCUAGUUUUUUCCACUUUCCUUCCACGGUACCUAAAGAUAUUGAAGCUAUUAUGAACGUGACAAGGUACAAUACUUGCCUUAAAACCUCCAACAAUACCGUUUGUCUCCAUCUUACAACUUAUUCCUCAGCAUGGGCUGAGAACUUUUCCUGACCACUUGCACUUCCAGC
ensembl:lncRNA